CAGGUUGAACCACUUAUGAACGCAAACACUGCAGGUAGAGAGAGUGAACAUUGACAAGGAAUGUUGCUUAAGACGGCAGGAGGAAGUGACCUCAUAACCGGCCGCUGCAGGUCCAGCUUCCAGCUCCUGGAGGGGCAGCUCUCAGACUUUGGCCUGACCUUCUGCACCAGAGUCAAAGAAAGACAUUUCCUCGGGUGAGGAUUAAAACACACACACACACACACACACACACACACACAUGUGUGCCAUGGAAUCAAGGAGUGUCAUGACCCAGCUCCUAGGAGUCUCUACCAUCUCUUCAGCGGACAAGAGAUACCCAUAAUCUCCGCCUCUCUGAAGUUUUGGAAGGUUCUGUGUGAUGCUGUGUGCAGGGAAAAUAAAAAUGAUCAUGACA